rnacentral:rRNA from 1 species
GACGAACGCUGGCGGCGUGCUUAACACAUGCAAGUCGAACGAAGUGGCGAACGGGUGAGUAACGCGUAAUCAACCUGCCCUUCCGAGGGGGACAACAGUUGGAAACGACUGCUAAUACCGCAUACUGAAGGAGGGGAUUGCGUCUGAUUAGCUAGUUGGGGGGGUAACGGCCCACCAAGGCGAUGAUCAGUAGCCGGUCUGAGGGGGGGAACGGCCAAAGUGGGACUGAGACACGGCCCAGACUCCUACGGGAGGCAGCAGUGGGGAAACUUCCGCAAUGGACGAAAGUCUGACGGAGCAACGCCGCGUGAGUGAUGACGGCCUUCGGGUUGUAAAGCUCUGUUAAGCGGGAAGCGGUACCGGAAGAGAAAGCCACGGCUAACUACGUGCCAGCCGCCGCGGUAAUUC